GUUUAAAGGGUUAGUGAAAUCUAUAAAAUGUAUUUUAUAAAUAAGCAAACUUGUAAACUUUUCUUGAACUUCAGUGAAACAUUUAGUUCCAAAGCAACAUUUGGAGGUGUGUUCUGUGUGCACUGUAGUUUGGAUGUAGAAUUAGUGGCUUUUUUUUUUUUUUAACAACACUAUUAAGUGAUAAGUUUCUAGUUUUGUGCUUCAAGUUGUCAAAGCAUUCAUAGUGGAAAUUCCAUUAGGAAACUUUAUUUGGAAUUUCAGAGAGUAAUACUCAGUGUAAUUAGGUCAGUCUUAACCCACUGGAUGAAAAUAUAGGGCUGUGUAUGGAAGUAAACAGACAUACAUUUUGGAUGGAAGUACCUUGGAUGAAAAUAAGGAUGCACAAAAGCCUUAAUCAAGCUGAGUCCCUUUUAUUGGGUUCUGUCAUUGUGUACAGGUGUGGGUCAAGUGUUUAAAAAUGAAUCCACCAAUCAGUUGAAGAACACUUUAAAAAUGAGUAAAGAAGAUGUAAAAUUGCUGCUAGUUAAAUUUUCUGGAAGAAUUUCUGGCGGUGAUUACUUUAAAAAAUUAUUUCCCACUCUUGCAAACAUUUAAAUUGUUUUACUGGCAGUUCUGUAGUAGUCCAAACUUUAGAAAGCAGACACAAUAAAAUGACUUAUUGCCAAUAUGGCCACAACAUUGCCAGCAAAAUACUGCCUUGGCUUCAUUCAGCAGAGACUUUUGUUUUUAUAGAUGAAGUCUUGAAUAUUGUUCAAUAAACUUGUCACGAAAUAAAACAGGCUGAUGCUUUUAAUGCUUUAACUGCACAGACGUACUCUAUUGAGCUAUACCAUUAGAUAUUUUGGGGUCUUUUAAAAACUCUUGAAAAUAUUUUGUGCCUUUGGAAACGUGGCUUUGGUGAUCUUGGAGAUAACGAUUGUUGCUUAUCCUUGUCUGCUAAUGCUGAAGUAUGGAAAGAAGAGGAUACCUGGAACUGCAGGGAGGAAUCUUGAUUCUAGGUCAUGUCUGUGGUAUCCACUUUUUCAGACUUACUAUGUGUGUUUUGCUAGCAAGCCACUUUUUUAAUGUGGACUGAGAAAGAACUGGAAACCAGAUGCUCCUUUUCAUGAAAGGAGUCUUAAAGGGGGCUGUGAAUUUUUUUUUUUUAAUGGUUAGGAAAUGGGAAAAGAAAUAUUCAGAAUAUAUUGUCACUUGCACAUAUCUUUAAAACUUUGUUUUCCUUCUUUGUUUUUGCAUGAGUAUGUUAGGUAUUUGAAGUGGGGAAGUGGGGCUAGAAAUCAAAAAUAUUGCUGGUUUCUGACACUGAUGCUCUGAUUUUGUCCAUUCCACGUUUGUUCAACUUCUGGAAAAAAAUUAGCAAAUAAAAAGUUUGCAU
rnacentral:lncRNA from 1 species